rnacentral:rRNA from 1 species
UACGUAGGGUGCAAGCGUUGUCCGGAAUUAUUGGGCGUAAAGAGCUCGUAGGCGGUCUGUCGCGUCUGCUGUGAAAACUCAGGGCUUAACCCUGAGCUUGCAGUGGGUACGGGCAGACUAGAGUGCGGUAGGGGAGACUGGAAUUCCUGGUGUAGCGGUGAAAUGCGCAGAUAUCAGGAGGAACACCGGUGGCGAAGGCGGGUCUCUGGGCCGUAACUGGACG